AUUGAACGCUGGCGGCAGGCCUAACACAUGCAAGUCGAGCGGCAGCGGGAAAGUAGCUUGCUACUUUUGCCGGCGAGCGGCGGACGGGUGAGUAAUGCCUGGGGAUCUGCCCAGUCGAGGGGGAUAACUACUGGAAACGGUAGCUAAUACCGCAUACGCCCUACGGGGGAAAGCAGGGGACCUCCGGGCCUUGCGCGAUUGGAUGAACCCAGGUGAGAUUAGCUAGUUGGUGAGGUAAUGGCUCACCAAGGCGACGAUCCCUAGCUGGUCUGAGAGGAUGAUCAGCCACACUGGAACUGAGACACGGUCCAGACUCCUACGGGAGGCAGCAGUGGGGAAUAUUGCACAAUGGGGGAAACCCUGAUGCAGCCAUGCCGCGUGUGUGAAGAAGGCCUUCGGGUUGUAAAGCACUUUCAGCGAGGAGGAAAGGUUGGUAGCUAAUAACUGCCAGCUGUGACGUUACUCGCAGAAGAAGCACCGGCUAACUCCGUGCCAGCAGCCGCGGUAAAAC
rnacentral:rRNA from 1 species